rnacentral:rRNA from 1 species
UGCAUAUCAAAAAGCGGAGGAAAAGAAACCAACUGGGAUUACCUUAGUAACGGCGAGUGAAGCGGUAAAAGCUCAAAUUUGAAAUCUGGUACUUUCAGUGCCCGAGUUGUAAUUUGUAGAAUUUGUCUUUGAUUAGGUCCUUGUCUAUGUUCCUUGGAACAGGACGUCAUAGAGGGUGAGAAUCCCGUUUGGCGAGGAUACCUUUUCUCUGUAAGACUUUUUCGAAGAGUCGAGUUGUUUGGGAAUGCAGCUCAAAGUGGGUGGUAAAUUCCAUCUAAAGCUAAAUAUUGGCGAGAGACCGAUAGCGAACAAGUACAGUGAUGGAAAGAUGAAAAGAACUUUGAAAAGAGAGUGAAAAAGUACGUGAAAUUGUUGAAAGGGAAGGGCAUUUGAUCAGACAUGGUGUUUUUUGCAUGCACUCGCCUCUCGUGGGCUUGGGCCUCUCAAAAAUUUCACUGGGCCAACAUCAAUUCUGGCAGCAGGAUAAAUCAUUAAGAAUGUAGCUACUUCGGUAGUGUUAUAGCUUUUUGGAAUACUGUUAGCCGGGAUUGAGGAC